rnacentral:rRNA from 1 species
AGAGUUUGAUUCUGGCUCAGAACGAACGCUGGCAGCGUGGAUUAGGCAUGCAAGUCGAACGAGAACCAGUGGUUUCAAGUUUUCGGACGAGAAACUGCUGGGGACAGUGGCGGAAGGGUGAGUAACGCGUGGGCAAUCUGCCCCUGAGUUGGGGACAACGGCUGGAAACGGCCGCUAAUACCGAAUACGGUUAUCUGUCGCCUGACGGGUGGACUAAAGAUGGGGACCCUUCGGGGCCUGUCGCUCGGGGAGGAGCCCGCGUCCCAUCAGCUUGUUGGUAGGGUAACGGCUUACCAAGGCAUACGGGUAGCUGGUCUGAGAGGAUGAUCAGCCACACUGGGACUGAGACACUGCCCAGACUCCUACGGGAGGCUGCAGUCGAGGAUCAUUGGCAAUGCGCGAAAGCGUGACCAUGCGACGCUGCGUGGAGGAUGACGGCCUUCGGGUUGUAAACUCCUGUCAUUCGGGAAAAACGGGCCGGUUCUUAAUAUGGGCCGGCCGUGAUGGUACCGAAAGAGGAAGCCACGGCUAACUCUGUGCCAGCAGCCGCGGUAAUACAGAGGUGGCAAGCGUUGUUCGGAUUUACUGGGCGUAAAGCGUGCGUAGGCGGUUCCGUAUGUCGGAUGUGAAAGCCCAUGGCCUAACCAUGGAAGUGCAUUCGAAACUGCGGGACUAGAGUGCAGGAGGGGAGAGCGGAAUUCAUGGUCUAGCGGUGAAAUGCGUUGAUAUUAUGAAGAACACCGGUGGCGGAGGCGGCUCUCUGGAAUGCUACUGACGCUGAGGCACGAAAGCUGGGGGAGCAAACAGGAUUAGAUACCCUGGUAGUCCCAGCCGUAAACGGUGCGCACUUGGUGUUGGGGGUGUUGACCCCCUCAGUGCCGGAGCUAACGCGUUAAGUGCGCCGCCUGGGGAGUACGGCCGCAAGGCUAAAACUCAAAGAAAUUGACGGGGGCCCGCACAAGCGGAGAAGCAUGUGGCUUAAUUCGAUGCAACGCGAAGAACCUUACCAGGGCUUGACAUGGCGACCCUUCGGGGGUGGUAGCGAAAGUUACCUUUACGAUCACAGGUGCUGCAUGGCUGUCGUCAGUUCGUGCCGUGAGGUGUUGGGUUAAGUCCCGCAACGAACGCAACCCCUGUGGUUAGUUGCCACCGCCGGUGAUGAGCCGGCGAGCACUCUAGCCAGACUGCCCGUGCAAGCGGGAGGAAGGUGGGGAUGACGUCAAGUCAGUAUGGCCCUUACGCCCUGGGCUGCACACGUGCUACAAUGGUCGGUACAGAAGGAUGCAAUGCCGCGAGGUGGAGCAAAUCCUCAAAGCCGACCCCAGUUCGGAUUGGAGUCUACAACUCGACUCCAUGAAGUUGGAUUCGCUAGUAAUGGCGCAUCAGCUACGGCGCCGUGAAUGCGUUCCCGGGCCUUGUACACACCGCCCGUCACAUCAUGAAAGCCGUCUGCACCCGAAGUCACUGAGCUAACCUUUUACUAGGAGGCAGGUGCCGAAGGUGUGGGUGGUGAUUGGGAUGAAGUCGCAACAAGGUA